AGCUACGGCCCCGUUGGUACACCCGAUCCCUCGAUCUCGGAAGUUAAGCAAUGUGCAGUCCGGACAGUUCUUGGAUGGGAGACCCCUAACCAAGGACAACUGGAUUGCUGUAGCUU
rnacentral:rRNA from 1 species